AAAUCACACUAAAGCGGACACCCAACUAUGGAAAAGCCUCCUUAAGGGUGGGUUAGGUUAGUCAAUCCGGCCCGAGACGCGUUCGUUGACAAAACCGCCGUAGGAAUUCCUACUUUUCAAUAGAGCGGAGGCGAACUGAUCAACGAGAAAGAGGCCCUACUCACUACAAACGAAUACACCACAAGAUCGAACUGCACUCAUGCCUCUCCCGCAUCAAGUUGACCGCCCCCCUACGUAGUGAUUCUAUCAAUCAUGUACGCAGGUAGGACCCUCCGUUCUGAUUGGUAUAUCAUGAAAAAAGAAAGCCAUUUGCACCGGGCGCACUGCGCUUUCCCUUGCCCAGAUGUUCACCUUUCUAAGUCAAGUAAUGGUGACCCACCGAAGACCGGAGCUUUGUAACAUGUUGACGAAGGCCCCCGAACUGAGGGUUCGGCCAGUAGAAGGGACGACUUUGUCUCCGAGGAAGAAGAAUAGCCCCGCUCUCUAGCCGACUGAUCCCGUUGAUCAUAUAACUGGGAGGGAAUGUGUUGAUGGGUCUCUAGCUUCUCUUUAGUGUAAAUUCAUUGAAAGGUGUAGUGGCUUAUCGACUUGUUUUUAUAACAUAAAAGGAGAUUGAAGAGACUUUUUAGUCAACUUAAUUUUGAAACAUCUUGUGGUUCAGCAUGCCUUAUCCUAAAGCCGACAUACCUAUUUCUUCGAUAAUCAGACUUUUAUCUCCCUAUACAGAAGAAGAUUCAAUAGCAGCAUUAUCGUAGAGAACAAUAUAUUGACAUACCCUUGAUGUAGUAUCCAUAUGAUGUGGAGCGAGUCUAUUUUCACGUGCUUUUGCUUUUCCACCCUCGUUUGCAGUAGUUUCAUUUUGCAUAGCCACAUGAUCUAGUACAUUAUUGUUUAUCCUGAAACAAAGUAUAAAGCAAGCCAUUACAGUUGUAAUGACAAGCAUCUGUAAGUCAAAUGCCCUUUGAGAUGUUACACUGCAAGUCUACCAUCGAGUCCACACAAACUAACAAACUAGUAGAUAAGGAAGUGCUGACAGACAUGGGAAUUGACAUAUUAAAUGCAUCCGAAAAACAGAAUUGACAUGUUGAAAAAAUGUAUGCACGACAUCUGGCAAAUUAGAUGGUCUCAAAAUACCCAAGUUGUUGUGCAUUGCCCGUUUGGGACAUCAAGUAAAGCUGGAACAGCCCCUUUUUUUAACCAACAUUGCACUAGCUAUGACAAUAAGAGUUGGCUUCACAUACCACUUGAACCUUAUGCAUGCAUCCCAAAAUUCACUUACAGAUAUGAAUUUUCUAUAGGAACAUUCAUUGAGGAAGAGGCAUUAUCUUCUGCCGUUGUUGAUAGAGAUGUCGAGCGUUCUGUAGUAGUAGUUGGUGAUACGAGCAGCAUAGCUCCAAUACCAAUCUCAUUAGGAGGAAUAUUUUUGUUCCUGUCAUAAAUUAGAAUAUUUUCAUCAAUGGCUGAUAUAUUCUCAAAGUCUGGUUCCUGUAGAAUAUAAUAAAGUUGCCUCUGGAGUCUUUCAACAGGUGACAAAAUUUGUUGUCUAAGCUCUGAUCUCUUUCUUCUCGGGACACUAUCAGGAUUCCAGAGAGGAUCUUUGUCUGCUUCUCCUAAUAAAAGGUGAACGUUAGCGCAUGCAAAACAAUUAGUUGUCCGAAGAUGAUCCUGCUGAUCCUAAGCUUGAUAUGUUAUUCAUUUCCUCUUCAAGACAAGCUGAAGAGCCAUCCUUUCCAGCAACCUCUGGUUCAACUUCUAGCUUUUGGUCUUCACGAGCUAAGACAUGCGGCUUCAUCUCAGAAGAGCACUGGUCUUUCAGGUGGUCCUGUUCUCCAAAGGGGGGUUUCUGUAUGAGUUUACAAUUCCUUAGUGUUGAAACUUGGUAAAAAAUAUGAAUAUGUUCAUACAGGGAUUGGGGGACCAAAUCUGCAAUUUAUCCUAGAUGACCUUUGCUCCUGUUUGACUAAUGGCUGCUGUACUGGAAAUCAAUUAACAUUUGGCUCGAGAGUCUGCAGGUGGGAGAUGAAGUACAUACACAGGUGGCUGAUAAUUGGAUACAUUUUUCCUAUUUGGCAUGCAUGCCUUAUC